GCCAGUCUGAUGGAAUAUACAUGUUAUGCUAUGCAUUAGAUCCCACAAAAAAAGGGAAUUCAAGACUAAAAGUGUACUUUUAUUAUCAUAGGUAAUUGAUACAUUAUCGAAGCCUAUGUCUCUUUAUCUUUGUCUUGCACAGCAAAGUCUGAAACAUGAGGACCUCUUCUUACCUCCCACCCAGCAAAAGGAAACAGGUGGAGCUACCCAAAACCAUGGCUCUUGGUCAUUCUCCUGCUUAUGAAUCCCUCCACCAGAAAGAACAGAUGGAAUGGACCGGAUCAGCCCAUUUUGUGGCUGCCACCUGGUAUGUUGACUCCCCGAGGACAAGGACAAGGACUAUUUGCCAGCACCUUAUGUAUGGAAACUAGGAGUAUAAUAACUACAAGCACCCCAGACCUCAGGAGCAAAACAGCAGGAAAUAAAAUCAGGAUGGAAGAGGCAAAAUGUUGCCACAUGGACUCCCAGAAAUCUCAAGCCCCUUUUGAAGAACAGCCUUCUACAAGCUAG
rnacentral:lncRNA from 1 species